UACGUAGGUGGCAAGCGUUGUUCGGAAUUAUUGGGCGUAAAGGGCGCGUAGGCGGCUUGUUAAGUCGGCUGUGAAAGCCCGGGGCUCAACCCCGGAGGGUCAGCCGAUACUGGCAGGCUAGAGUACGGAAGAGGUAGCUGGAAUUCCCGGUGCAGCGGUGAAAUGCGUAGAUAUCGGGAGGAACACCUGAGGCGAAGGCGGGCUACUGGGCCGAUACUGACGCUGAUGCGCGAAAGCCAGGGGAGCGAACGGG
rnacentral:rRNA from 1 species